rnacentral:rRNA from 1 species
GAUCAUGGCUCAGAUUGAACGCUGGCGGCAGGCCUAACACAUGCAAGUCGAACGGUAACAGGAAACAGCUGCUGUUCGCUGACGAGUGGCGGACGGGUGAGUAAUGUCUGGGAAACUGCCUGAUGGAGGGGGACAACUACUGGAAACGGUAGCUAAUACCGCAUAACGUCGCAAGACCAAAGAGGGGGACCUUCGGGCCUCUUGCCAUCGGAUGUGCCCAGAUGGGAUUAGCUAGUAGGUGGGGUAACGGCUCACCUAGGCGACGAUCCCUAGCUGGUCUGAGAGGAUGACCAGCCACACUGGAACUGAGACACGGUCCAGACUCCUACGGGAGGCAGCAGUGGGGAAUAUUGCACAAUGGGCGCAAGCCUGAUGCAGCCAUGCCCGCGUGUAUGAAGAAGGCCUUCGGGUUGUAAAGUACUUUCAGCGGGGAGGAAGGGAGUAAAGUUAAUACCUUUGCUCAUUGACGUUACCCGCAGAAGAAGCACCGGCUAACUCCGUGCCAGCCGCCGC